rnacentral:rRNA from 1 species
UGCAAGUCGAACGGUGAUGGCCAGCUUGCUGGUCUGAUCAGUGGCGAACGGGUGAGUAACACGUGAGCAACCUGCCCUUCACUCUGGGAUAACCACGGGAAACGGUGGCUAAUACCGGAUAUGAGACGUACACGCAUGUGUCGCGUCUGGAAAGAUUUAUCGGUGAAGGAUGGGCUCGCGGCCUAUCAGCUUGUUGGUGGGGUAGUGGCCCACCAAGGCGACGACGGGUAGCCGGCCUGAGAGGGCGACCGGCCACACUGGGACUGAGACACGGCCCAGACUCCUACGGGAGGCAGCAGUGGGGAAUAUUGCACAAUGGGCGCAAGCCUGAUGCAGCGACGCCGCGUGAGGGAUGACGGCCUUCGGGUUGUAAACCUCUUUCAGCAGGGAAGAAGCGCAAGUGACGGUACCUGCAGAAGAAGCGCCGGCUAACUACGUGCCAGCAGCCGCGGUAAUACGUAGGGCGCAAGCGUUGUCCGGAAUUAUUGGGCGUAAAGAGCUCGUAGGCGGUUUGUCGCGUCUGCUGUGAAAACCUAAGGCUCAACCUUGGGCUUGCAGUGGGUACGGGCAGACUAGAGUGCGGUAGGGGUGACUGGAAUUCCUGGUGUAGCGGUGGAAUGCGCAGAUAUCAGGAGGAACACCGAUGGCGAAGGCAGGUCACUGGGCCGCAACUGACGCUGAGGAGCGAAAGCAUGGGGAGCGAACAGGAUUAGAUACCCUGGUAGUCCAUGCCGUAAACGUUGGGCACUAGGUGUGGGGCUCAUUCCACGAGUUCCGUGCCGCAGCAAACGCAUUAAGUGCCCCGCCUGGGGAGUACGGCCGCAAGGCUAAAACUCAAAGAAAUUGACGGGGGCCCGCACAAGCGGCGGAGCAUGCGGAUUAAUUCGAUGCAACGCGAAGAACCUUACCAAGGCUUGACAUACACCGGAAAAGUGCAGAGAUGUGCUCCCCGCAAGGUCGGUGUACAGGUGGUGCAUGGUUGUCGUCAGCUCGUGUCGUGAGAUGUUGGGUUAAGUCCCGCAACGAGCGCAACCCUCGUCCCAUGUUGCCAGCGGGUUAUGCCGGGGACUCAUGGGAGA